rnacentral:ncRNA from 1 species
UACAGCUUUCCAAGUGCAUAAAAUGAUUGUUGUGGUUAAAAAGCUCGUAGUUGGAUUAUAAAGAUUGUAUAAUGAGCAUCUUGGAUGUUUUAAUUUCAUUAUCAUCUUAUUAUUUUUAUUAUUUAUUUUUAAUAAGUAAUAAACUGUUACUUUGAAUAAAUCAGAGGGUUUAAACCAGGCAUUUAUAUGCUUGUAUGGUCUAGCAUGGAAUAACACUAUAGAAAAAGUUAGUGUGGUUUCACUAAUCUUUUUCAUGAUUAAUAGGAACAAACGGGGGCAUUCGUAUCGCUACGUUAGAGGUGAAAUUCUUGGACCGUAGCGAGACGUCCUACUGCGAAAGCAUUUGCCAAGAAUGUUUUCAUUAAUCAAGAACGAAAGUUAGAGGUUCGAAGGCGAUCAGAUACCGCCCUAGUUCUAACCGUAAACUAUGCCUACUAGGUGUAUGAAUUAUUAGUUAUAAUAAUUUAUGCACCUUCUCGGAAACGAAAGUCUUUCGGUUCCGGGGGAAGUAUGGUUGCAAAGCUGAAACUUAAAGGAAUUGACGGAAGGGCACCACCAGGAGUGGAGCCUGCGGCUUAAUUUGACUCAACACGGGAAAACUCACCCGGGCCGGACACUAUAAGGAUUGACAGAUUGAUAGCUCUUUCAUGAUUUAGUGGUUGGUGGUGCAUGGCCGUUCUUAGUUCGUGGAUAUGAUUUGUCUGGUUGAUUCCGAUAACGAGCGAGACUUUUAUGUUAUAUUAAAUAAUAUUAUUUUAAAUUUUAUUUAAUAAUAUAUAUUUUAAUAACAGAUUAAUAGUGUUUAACUAUUUGAGAGAGAGCAAUAACAGGUCUGUGAUGCCCUUAGAUGUCCGGGGCUGCACGCGCGCUACAAUGUAGUGAUCAUUAUGUUCCUGUUUAGAGAUAAAUGGGUAAACAUUUAAAACAUUACGUAACUGGGAGUGAAAAUUGCAAUUAUUUUUCAUGAACGAGGAAUUCCAAGUAAACGUAAGUCAUUAGCUUACAUUGAUUACGUCCCUGCCCUUUGUACACACCGCCCGUCGCUGCCCGGAACUGAGCAAUAUCGAGAGGCAGGAAGAGAUAUAAAAAAUAUUUAUAUUUUUUUAUGUUAAAUCCUUUCAAUCGCUGUUGUUUGAACCGGGCAAAAGUCGUAACAAGGUUUUCGUAGGUGAACCUGCGAAAGGAUCAUUU